rnacentral:tRNA from 2 species
GCGAGCGUAGUUCAGUGGUAAAAC